UUUUCUAGGGUAACACCUUGUACACGCACUAAGCUAACGAGAUGUAUUAUUUCUUUCCACAUGUGUGUGAAUCAUCCACCACUCACUGGGAUGCCAUCCAAUGGUAGUCCCUAGGGAUUCCCUUUCAUUUCAAGGGUUGAAUAAUCAACACUACAAAAUCUGAAGGAUAUGGCCGCAUUUACUACUCACCAAAUAUAGAGCAUUUUAUUUCUUGUAAUUAAUAUGGAUAAGCACAGAUCGGCACAAUUAAUUGUUACCUAAACAUAGAUCAGAUUGGUCGUAUAUAUAUGUGUGUAUGUGAGAGAGAAACAUAUAGCAAUUAGCAAGUACUCCGUAGAAGAUACUACUCAUAUCUGAAAGCAUAUAUUGCCAUGGAGAGAAGCAAGAUCAUUAUGCUCGUGAUGAUCAUCCUUCCGUGUCUCGUAACAUUUUCUCAGGCUCAAAAACCUGAUGAUAGCAGCAAGAUCCAAAUUUGCAUGUGCCAAAAGAAUCCUCCACCAUGCCCAAAUGAUUUGUGCUUCUGUUGUGCAUUGGAGCAAGAUAAAUGCUUUAGAACCAGCCAAGAAUGCAUUUGUGGCCCUGAUUGCCCUCCUUUAGAAGCAACCUCCACUCAUCCCCUCCCUUUGCCUUAAGACAUCAUGUCAGAUUGUUGCAAUGACAAGUAUUGUCAUGAAUAUCUUGGAAUAAAAAAAGUUGUAUUCGCUGCA